GACGAACGCUGGCGGCAAGCUUAACACAUGCAAGUCGAACGCCGUAGCAAUACGGAGUGGCAGACGGGUGAGUAACACGUGGGAACGUGCCUUUCGGUUCGGAACAACUGAGGGAAACUUCAGCUAAAACCGGAUACGCCCUUCGGGGGAAAGUUUACGCCGAAAGAUCGGCCCGCGGCAGAUUAGGUAGUUGGCGGGGUAAUGGCCCACCAAGCCGAUGAACUGUAGCGGUUCUGAGAGGAAGAUCAGACACACUGGGACUGAGACACGGCCCAGACUCCUACGGGAGGCAGCAGUGGGGAAUAUUGGACAAUGGGCGCAAGCCUGAUCCAGCUAUGCCGCGUGGAUGAAGAAGGCCUUCGGGUUGUAAAGUCCUUUCGGCGGGGAAGAUAAUGACGGUACCCGCAGAAGAAGCCCCGGCUAAUUUCGUGCCAGCCGCCGCCGUAACAC
rnacentral:rRNA from 1 species